GAUGAACGCUAGCGGCAGGCUUAAUACAUGCAAGUCGAGGGGCAGCAGGUCCCGCAGCAAUGCGGGAUGCUGGCGACCGGCAAACGGGUGCGGAACACGUACAGAACCUUCCUCUAAGUGGGGAAUAGCCCGGGGAAACCCGGAUUAAUACCCCGUAACAUAAUGAAGUGGCAUCACUUUAUUAUUAUAGCAGCAAUGCGCUUGAAGAUGGCUGUGCGGCUGAUUAGGUAGUUGGCGGGGUAACGGCCACCAAGCCUACGAUCAGUAACUGGUGUGAGAGCACGACCAGUCACACGGGCACUGAGACACGGGCCCGACUCCUACGGGAGGCAGCAGUAAGGAAUAUUGGGCAAUGGACGCAAGUCUGACCCAGCCAUGCCGCGUGGAGGAUGAAGGUCCUCUGGAUUGUAAACUUCUUUUAUCUGGGAAGAAAUCUAUUUUUUCUAAAGUAGUUGACGGUACCAGGUGAAUAAGCACCGGCUAACUCCGUGCCAGCCGCCGCGGUAA
rnacentral:rRNA from 1 species